GAGUUUGAUUAUGGCUCAGGAUGAACGCUAGCGGGAGGCCUAACACAUGCAAGCCGAGCGGGAUUUAUUUUUUAGCUUGCUAAGGAAUGAUGAGAGCGGCGUACGGGUGCGUAACACGUGUGCAACCUGCCUUUAUCUGGGGGAUAGCCUUUCGAAAGGGAGAUUAAUACCCCAUAAUAUAUUAAUUGGCAUCGAUUGAUAUUGAAAGUUUUUUACGGAUAGAGAUGGGCACGCGCAAGAUUAGAUAGUUGGUGAGGCAACGGCUCACCAAGUCGAUGAUCUUUAGGGGGCCUGAGAGGGUGAUCCCCCACACUGGUACUGAGACACGGACCAGACUCCUACGGGAGGCAGCAGUGAGGAAUAUUGGACAAUGGGUGGAAGCCUGAUCCAGCCAUCCCGCGUGAAGGAUUAAGGACCUAUGGUUUGUAAACUUCUUUUAUAUAGGGAUAAACCUACUCUCGUGAGGGUAGC
rnacentral:rRNA from 1 species